rnacentral:rRNA from 1 species
GACGUAGGGGGCGAGCGUUGCCCGGAUUCACUGGGCGUAAAGCGCGUGUAGGCGGUCUGUUAAGUCGGAUGUGAAAGCUCCGGGCUCAACUCGGAAAUUGCAUCCGAUACUGGCAGACUUGAGGACGGUAGAGGUCGGUGGAAUGGCGAGUGUACCGGUGAAAUGGGCAGAUAUUCGCCAGAACACCAGUGGCGAAGGCGGCCGACUGGGCCGAUCCUGACGCUGAGACGCGAAAGCCAGGGUAGCGAACCGG